GCCGGAAAAGCUCAGUUGGGAGAGCGUUAGACUGAAAUUGUUUACGCAACAGUCAUCUAAAGGCCCCCGGUUCAAUCCCGGGUUCCGGCA
rnacentral:tRNA from 1 species